UUCAAAUGCUUCGAAAUCCAACAGGUGCAA
rnacentral:piRNA from 1 species